UUUUACAGCGCCAGAUGAGUUGGAAGCAUCUUCAGGUUUUUUUUCAGUGGACAAAGGAAUGGAAACACCAGCUAUCAUCGAAUUGAGAAAGAAAAAGAUACAAGAUGAAAUGGAGAGCAAUGCGAAUGCUUCUCUGUUUAAUAUUAUUCCUGAAAAGAAAACGGAAAGAAAUGGAAAAGAAAUGAUGCCAUCUAAUCAUAUCUAUGACGUGACGGGCUCAUUCAAAAGAACACAAGGAGUUGAAGUUGCACUGGAUCCAAAUGAUUUGGAAAUGCCUAUUGCAGAUUUAGCAGCUAAAUACGAGAAAUCAUUGAAACAAACGAGUAAAGAAGAUUUAAGUGAUAUGGUUGCUGAACACGUGGCCAGUCAGAAAAGGAAAAAAACACAAGACUCUUUCAAAUCCAAUAAGAAAUAUAAAGAUUUCAAAUUUUGACCUUUUUUGUGUAUUUUGACAUAAUUUUAGUAUUAUAUUCAUUUCAUUAAUUUUGUAAACAAAUUGAACUUUAAAUCUUAAUAAAAUUUCGUAUGUACAAUCUA